UCCCUGGUGGCUCAGACAGUAAAGAAUCUGCCUGCAAUGCAGAAGACCCGGGUUCAAUUCCUGAGCUGGGAU
rnacentral:tRNA from 1 species